rnacentral:sRNA from 1 species
UGGGGGGACAGUAUACGACACCGAGAA